AUUGAACGCUGGCGGCAGGCCUAACACAUGCAAGUCGAACGGCAGCACAGAAGAGCUUGCUCUUUGGGUGGCGAGUGGCGGACGGGUGAGUAAUGUCUGGGAAACUGCCCGAUGGAGGGGGAUAACUACUGGAAACGGUAGCUAAUACCGCAUAACGUCGCAAGACCAAAGUGGGGGACCUUCGGGCCUCACACCAUCGGAUGUGCCCAGAUGGGAUUAGCUAGUAGGUGGGGUAAUGGCUCACCUAGGCGACGAUCCCUAGCUGGUCUGAGAGGAUGACCAGCCACACUGGAACGGAGACACGGUCCAGACUCCUACGGGAGGCAGCAGUGGGGAAUAUUGCACAAUGGGCGCAAGCCUGAUGCAGCCAUGCGGCGUGUAUGAAGAAGGCCUUCGGGUUGUAAAGUACUUUCAGCGGGGAGGAAGGCGGUGAGGUUAAUAACCUCGCCGAUUGACGUUACCCGCAGAAGAAGCACCGGCUAACUCCGUGCCAGCCGCCGCGGUAA
rnacentral:rRNA from 1 species